AGUGUACUUUUUGAUAAGUUUUUGUAUCUGCUAUUAAAUUGCAUUUGUGUUUAAUUUACUUGCUAAUGAGGGGCAUUUCUCAGGCUGCCUGGGAACAUUUCUGUGCUCUCUGCUGCCCUCCUGGUCUGGUGUCUUGGUCUUCAGGAGACAUCUGUAACACUUCUCUAUGUCCUCCGGAGCAGAUGAAGCUGCAGCAGGCCCUGGAGAUGGUGCGGAAAGAGAUGGAGGAGGCAUCAGCACAAGAGGAGAAUGUGGGGAAGAAGGCUGUGGUGUGGAAGGAGAAGGUGGAGGUGCAGCGGCAGCGGUUCCGGUUGGAGUUUGAGAAGUACCGUGGCUUUCUGGCCCUGGAGGAACGGCUCCAGCAGCGGUGGCUGGAGGAGGAGGAGCAGGCGACCCUGCAGAGGCUGUGGGACAGUAGGGCGAGGCUGGCCCAGCACAGCAAGGCCCUGAAGGAGCUGGUUGAGGAGCUGGAGCAGAGGAGCCGGUGCCCAGACCUGGGUCUGCUGGAGGUGAGUAGGGGGCGGAGAUGGUGACACUGAGCACUUUGGAGCAGCCUUACUGUCUCCCCCAGU
rnacentral:lncRNA from 1 species